GUUUAUGGCCUCUAGCUUUUUACUCUUGAGGAUUGGUAAAGGAUUUUAGCCAAUGAAAUGCUAUUGCCAUGCAGUAUCUUUUGCUAUUUGUAAAUCUCUAUUUAAACAAUAAAAGGCUGCGUAGAAGGUAGCCAUUUCUUUGCACCCUUCAAUGACUAAGGAGUGAUUAUUACAGCUGGCGCCCUCAGCAGGGACAUUUUGUUUUGGGACCCCUACGGGAAGAAGCAGCUGCCAACAUACUUACCAUCGUCUGGAACAGACCUCUAAGUGCACUUUCGUCUUACGAGACCCCUCAGUGAAUGUUUUCCACGUUAAGACCAGAAUCACGUUUUCUCAACUUUGGACCUGUCAGGACCAUUUACGCCAGACAUUCAGUGAAAUGUCUAGCAGUUUCUGGCUGCAAGGAUAAGAUUCAGUGUACUGUGCUUUUGAGGCCUGCCAUUCUGUUGGAAGGGGAGAUACUUUGGAGAUGCUUUGCAUUGUCUUGCCACUAUGGAGACAAGGAGAAGGAUGCAUCACCCUUAUCUAGGAGACUCUUGAAGCCAGAAGGUAAUGAAAGUGGGAGAGACCUUGAAGAGUGUGCCAAUGGAACCAGUUACCAAAACACUAUGCCACCUGUGGAUUGGCUGAAAUUCAAACAAACACUGGGACCCUGGUGGGGGGGGAGUAAUGACAUUGCUUUUAAUAUACUGAUUGCAUGGGUUUUUCCUCAGAUCUCACCUUGUUUUCCCUGCUAUCGCUAGCCCCUAAUAAAAGUUCCUUUUGAGACAAUGCCCAUUUCAAGAGUUCUGCUUUCUUGGGAGGCUUAAAUGAGGUAGGUCCUUACACACAGCUUGCACUUUCUUCCUUUAUACAUGAGCUAGCCUACUAACCAGUUGCAAGACACAUGAAAUCUGUUGGGCUCUGUCACCCAUUAUCUUGAAGAAAACUCAGGUGCCUGGCAGUGAACAGAGAGAACAGAAGUAGGUGAGGACAUUUAAUUUCUUGCCCCUGUCAUUUUCUGCUGAAUCAAGGAUGAGUGGAGAACACUUCAGUUCACCAGCAAGGAAAAGCCCUUUGUUUAUAUCUUAAGACAUUGUUUAGUUUCUGUGCUUUCCUUGGAAAGCAAUAUUGAUUAGAGCCAGUAAUUGUCUUCUAAUUGGCUGGAGAUGCUUGUCUACUUCAGAUAAUUAAACUGAAGAAGAAAAAGGGGAAAGAAAUGGGAGAGAAGAAAAAGGACUCUUCUUAAACUCAUUAACUGUGAUGAUCAAUAGCAGAGAGAAGAUCUGUACCUAAGACAGAUGAGCAAAGGAGAGCUCGCUCAAAAUGGAUAGAGGAUUCCAACAGAGAGUUUCAAACUUUU